UUGAACGCUGGCGGCAUGCCUUACACAUGCAAGUCGAACGGCAGCACGGGAGCAAUCCUGGUGGCGAGUGGCGAACGGGUGAGUAAUAUAUCGGAACGUGCCCAGUCGUGGGGGAUAACGUAGCGAAAGCUACGCUAAUACCGCAUACGAUCUAUGGAUGAAANCGGGGGAUCGCAAGACCUCGCGCGAUUGGAGUGGCCGAUAUCAGAUUAGGUAGUUGGUGAGGUAAAGGCUCACCAAGCCGACGAUCUGUAGCUGGUCUGAGAGGACGACCAGCCACACUGGGACUGAGACACGGCCCAGACUCCUACGGGAGGCAGCAGUGGGGAAUUUUGGACAAUGGGCGCAAGCCUGAUCCAGCAAUGCCGCGUGCAGGAUGAAGGCCUUCGGGUUGUAAACUGCUUUUGUACGGAACGAAACGGUGAGCUCUAAUACAGUUUGCUAAUGACGGUACCGUAAGAAUAAGCACCGGCUAACUCUGUG
rnacentral:rRNA from 1 species